CAGCAGGCCUGCCCCCUUCACGUCUCCACCUUCAUGCGGAAAUACAACCAGUGAUGAUUUUACAUCCAUGGAUAAAACGUUCACACUGUUCUGUGUGCCCCACGGAUGUUGUACCUGAUCUGUGCUUACCCUCAUGGAUGUGGAUUUAUGACUGUUAUGACUGCCUGGAUAUGAGCAGCUACAAGAGGAACUACAGAGGGAGGGAGAGUCUGAUCGGGUUCUAGAUAACUCUGUUUCAAGUAGACCUGCAGGACCACCAAGACAAUUGAAUGUUCGUUAAGCCCCCUGAAAGAUGGAGGAGGAGAAGCAAGUUCAGACUUGAAGAUACAGCCCCAGCAACUAUCCAGGGAAGGACUUCAUAAGACUUGGGGUAUAAAUCCAACCCACCUAAAGAAAAUCAUAGUUUGAACUCUAUUAAAACAAAAUGAAGCUUUCGGGGAUAUAACGGUUGCAAGUGAUGCACAAAUCGUAAUGCCAUCAGGUGCCAUAAUCUAUUCUAUAAUGGGUUUCUUUUAAACAUUUUUUUAGGGGAUAGAAGGACUACUCACAGUCGGUGUUGUUUCGAAAUUGAAUAUUAAUUACAGCCUGGCCCAGUUCAUUCAUGCUGAUACAUUGGAUGUUGUGGUAGCAAGCAGCAGGCAUGGUGAUGAUGCUAUUCACUGUCUCGGAGCUGCUAGAGCUGGUGAAUGAGAAGUCUGUAACAGAGGCCAAAGACCAGCUGAUUUGUGGCAGGGGAUUCCCUCGACUGAUGCACACACACACCACAACCUUUCCUUUAACCAUGCACUGGGGAAGAUUUAGGAUUUUAGGAGGAACUGAACGAAAGAAAGAAGGAACAUAAGAUUAGGUCUGUGUGGGAUGGAACCAUGUUAGAUUGAUGUCCAGUCAAACCAAUGCGGCAGCCGUUACUUACAUUCUACUCUCAAUGUCUCAAUUGUACCAAUGGAAAUGUCACCAUAGCGUGCCACACAUGUGACUUUGGUGUUGUGGUCAACUGCUGUAGGAUUGAAGUGUAAAACUCUUAUAGCAUUAACGCGAGUGUAAUUAGUCCGACAUAGCAUGGACCGCUUAACAGCAUUUGUCCAUUCCCAGCUGAAACGAGGCGUUUGAGUGCACAAUAUAUCAGCUUUACAAUUCGGUGAGCCAGAUUGUCCCUCUGUCAAGAUAGUAGUCCAAACAUGUGGUCUUUUGGUUAAUGCUGAAAAAUAAAAAAACAGUACACAUUACAAUAAACACAACAUUAUUGUGAAAUUAUUACUUAUUAAUGAGGCUUGAUGUCAGUCUGCUGGCAGGGGGCAUUUAUACAAUAGAUUUGAUUUAAUCAUGUCAAACAACACUGUUUUUGCAUCACAGCAGCUCCAUUUUCAACAUCAACAAGGGCAGAUAUCAAUACAAGAUACAAGGAAACAGACAUUUAACAUAACAUUUCAAUCACUCGAGACAAUAUGUGUAAAAAAUACAUAAAGAAAGCUGGUAAAGUGAACUUAUUGUCUGAAAUUUCUGAGAGUGAGAUGAAAAGAUCAGUAUCACACGUUGUGUCAAGAACGGAGCUGGUGGAAACGGCUAACCUGACUACUACUCCACAUUUAACCUGUUUGAUGAACAAACUGAAACUUAAAAUGUGUGUAGUAUUAGGGGGGAGUUGCAUGUUAUAAAGAUGUUGUUACUGCAUAUUUCAUUUAUCCCUUCAAGUGUUGCUUUCUGCUGUGUUUCUCACCAGAAACUGAGAUCCAAACCUUUGUUGGAAAAAUAUACGUCUGGUUACAUUCCCAUUCCCGUCUUCAGCCCAACUCAUGCUCUCCCUCUGGCAGAUAAUUUAUCUUUAAAGUCAAUUGCAUCUUAGAAUUUAUAUUGUAAACAUAGGUCGUAGAUGCAAUAUUUUGUGGCUCUCCUUUAAACCAAAUCCUUCGAUAUGGGACUGUCACUGUGUUUGUUGGAAGGCUUAAUUUGUACGGGAUGUAAAUGCAUUUCCCAUAUUCUGCUUUAAUGUGUUUGGUCAUAUUGAUUGAAAACUCUUGAGUCAUUGAGUUUUUAUGUGAAAGAAAGCAAAAAUACUACAACUAACUCCCUAUUAUAUGCAGUGUGGGGUUUAUUUUAUUAAUCAUUUACUAAAAUAAAACACUUCUUA